ensembl:rRNA 5S_rRNA 5S ribosomal RNA
GUCUCCGGCCACGCCACCCUGAACGAGCCCCAUCCCGUCUGGUCUCAGAAGCUAAGGAGGGUCGGGCCUGGUUAGUACUCGGAUGGGAGACCACCUAGGAAGACCGGAUGCUGUAGGUG